AGAGUUUGAUCAUGGCUCAGAUUGAACGCUGGCGGCAGGCCUAACACAUGCAAGUCGAGCGGAUGAAGAGAGCUUGCUCUCUGAUUCAGCGGCGGACGGGUGAGUAAUGCCUAGGAAUCUGCCUGAUAGUGGGGGACAACGUUUCGAAAGGAACGCUAAUACCGCAUACGUCCUACGGGAGAAAGCAGGGGACCUUCGGGCCUUGCGCUAUCAGAUGAGCCUAGGUCGGAUUAGCUAGUUGGUGAGGUAAUGGCUCACCAAGGCGACGAUCCGUAACUGGUCUGAGAGGAUGAUCAGUCACACUGGAACUGAGACACGGUCCAGACUCCUACGGGAGGCAGCAGUGGGGAAUAUUGGACAAUGGGCGAAAGCCUGAUCCAGCCAUGCCGCGUGUGUGAAGAAGGUCUUCGGAUUGUAAAGCACUUUAAGUUGGGAGGAAGGGCAUUAACCUAAUACGUUAGUGUUUUGACGUUACCGACAGAAUAAGCACCGGCUAACUUCGUGCCAGCAGCCGCGGUAAUACGAAGGGUGCAAGCGUUAAUCGGAAUUACUGGGCGUAAAGCGCGCGUAGGUGGUUUGUUAAGUUGGAUGUGAAAGCCCCGGGCUCAACCUGGGAACUGCAUCCAAAACUGGCAAGCUAGAGUAUGGCAGAGGGUGGUGGAAUUUCCUGUGUAGCGGUGAAAUGCGUAGAUAUAGGAAGGAACACCAGUGGCGAAGGCGACCACCUGGGCUAAUACUGACACUGAGGUGCGAAAGCGUGGGGAGCAAACAGGAUUAGAUACCCUGGUAGUCC
rnacentral:rRNA from 1 species